rnacentral:rRNA from 1 species
UACGAAGGGGGCUAGCGUUGUUCGGAAUUACUGGGCGUAAAGCGCGCGUAGGCGGACAUCUAAGUCAGAGGUGAAAUGCCGGGGCUUAACCUCGGAACUGCCUUUGAUACUGGAAGUCUGGAGUUCGGGAGAGGUGAGUGGAAUUCCGAGUGUAGAGGUGAAAUUCGUAGAUAUUCGGAGGAACACCAGAAGCGAAGGCGGCUCACUGGCCCGAUACUGACGCUGAGGCGCGAAAGCGUGGGGAGCAAACAGG